AGUGAACGCUGGCGGUAGGCCUAACACAUGCAAGUCGAACGGCAGCACAGUAAGAGCUUGCUCUUACGGGUGGCGAGUGGCGGACGGGUGAGGAAUACAUCGGAAUCUACUUUUUCGUGGGGGAUAACGUAGGGAAACUUACGCUAAUACCGCAUACGACCUACGGGUGAAAGCAUGGGAUCUUCGGACCUUGCGCGAUUGAAUGAGCCGAUGUCGGAUUAGCUAGUUGGCGGGGUAAAGGCCCACCAAGGCGACGAUCCGUAGCUGGUCUGAGAGGAUGAUCAGCCACACUGAAACUGAGACACGGUCCAGACUCCUACGGGAGGCAGCAGUGGGGAAUAUUGGACAAUGGGCGCAAGCCUGAUCCAGCCAUACCGCGUGGGUGAAGAAGGCCUUCGGGUUGUAAAGCCCUUUUGUUGGGAAAGAAAAGCAGCAGGUUAAUACCCCGCUGUUCUGACGGUACCCAAAGAAUAAGCACCGGCUAACUUCGUG
rnacentral:rRNA from 1 species